rnacentral:tRNA from 1 species
CGGGAUGUAGCGCAGUCUGGUAGCGCACCUGGAUGGGGUCCAGGUGGUCGGAGGUUCGAAUCCUCUCAUCCCGACCA